AAACUCGAUUAUUUAAACUUAAAUAGCUACUGUUACUAUUUACACAACGAAACAAAAUCUCAGAACAACAUUCGACCCCAAAAAGGUGGUGAAAGAGCGAGGUCGUCUUCUCAAUGCCCCACAUCCAUAAAAUCCAAAGACUCCAUGGAGCGAGUUAGAGCACUUGAUUAGGGCGCUCAAACUCAAUUUAAAAACUCGUUCAUCAUUUGAUUUUAGUUGUGUAAAGAAUAAUAAAGCAUAUGGCACAUCAUUUAUAUUCAGCACUAUUGAGCAGUCACAUCAUAUGUCUACAAACUCUCCACAUAUUACACUUGAUUUAUCUUUUUUGUUUACUUUAGCUAUCGUAGAUGCAAACUCAAAUUUAAACGUUGAAUAAAAUUUAUUUUUUUAUAUUAACCUCAAUACUUAAAUUCGUCUUCCAGAGCUAAUCUCGGUACGAUAUUCAUACUUAGCAACUCUUGAAAUAAUAACUUAGCUGCAUAUGGUAUGGUCAUUUUGACAACCUCUCGAGUACUCUGGCAACUAUUACACCAACCUUUGUAACCCAAAAGACCACAUUGGCCACAAACAUCCACAUCACAAGCAUCUGAGGAAAUCAUGAGUCUUUCCAAAAGUAACUGGGAGGCACCAUAAGCAAUCAAACAAUCACGCUCCAUUUCACCCAAACGUAGACCGCCGUCUCGAGAACGUCCCUCCGUGGGUUGUCGCGUUAGCACCGCCCGCGGGCCACGCGCUCUUGCAUGCAUUUUAUCCAUAACCAUAUGUUUUAAUUUUUGAUAAUAAAUUGGGCCCAUAAAAAUGUAAGCCUCUAAUGUUUCACCUGUAAUUCCCGAAGUCAACAUAUCUUUUCCAGAAUAGUUGUAACCAUGCUCGACCAAUAUUCGACUAGCAUCUUCCACUUUGGUUCCACCAAAACAUGUUCCAUACUCCAAUGUUCCCCUUAGAACACCAACUUUUCCAGAUAAAAGUUCAAUCAUUUUCCCAACGGUCAUUCGAGAUGGGAAACCAUGAGGAUUCAUGAUGAUAUCUGGACAAAUACCUUGAUCAUUAAACGGCAUAUCUUCUUGUUGUACAAUUACACCGCAAACACCCUUCUGUCCGUGGCGUGAGGAAAACUUAUCGCCAAGUUCGGGGCGACGAGUUUGUCGCAUCAAGACUUUGAUUAAUGUUUGAUCAGAAUCAGUUGUAGUAAGCAUGACCUUGUCAAUGUAGCCUGGUUCAGGGGCCUUGUAUGUCAUUGGAGUUGCUUUGUAUCCUGAUUCAACAGUUUGAGUAUGACCCAAAGUAAUUGAAUUGUCGAGGGCAUUAGUGGGAGUUUGUUUGUUGACAUAGAUUUGACCGGGUUGUACACGACAACCAACACCAGCUAAACCAUCGUCUUCAACAACACCGUGUUUCCAAACUACCUCGCCAGUUUCAGGAUCUCGUUGUGGAUCACCAAUACGAUCAUGGGUACCGUUGGGAUACUUUCGGACUAUGACUGAAUGCUUGUGGAAAACUUGACAGCGGCCAAAGCCCCUGUCAAUUGAGGAUUUGUUCAAAACCAGUGCAUCUUCAAUGUCAUAACCCGAAUAACUCAUGAUCGCGACAGUUGCGUUUUGCCCAGCUGGUAAUUUAUCAUAUCCAAUUAACUCGAUGGUCUUUGUUUUGACCAUCGGUUGCUGGGGAUAAACCAUUAAGUAUAAUAAUGUAUCAAUACGCUGCAAUUGAUUGUAAGCAAUCGCUCCGAUAGCUUGUUUACCCAUUGCACAUUGAUAGGUAUUACGGGGAGAUUGAUUGUGAUGGGGAUAGGGGAUUAAGCCAGCGACAGCACCUAGAAUGGUAAAUGGCUCAAUUUCAAGAUGAGUGGUGUCAGGAGUGAUGUCUCUUUCAUAAACAGAAAUUAAACUAUCAUUUUCUUCGUUAACAUCGACAUAUUCGACCAAUCCUUGUUUCAAAAAAUCUUCGAACCCCCAUUUUCCUUCUUUAAGCAGUCUAAUGUGUUUUGAUUCGACCUUGGGUAAUCCAUUCUGAACUAUAAUCAAUGGUCUACAAAUUCUUCCACCAUCUGUUGAUAUGAAAACAGCUCGUUGAUGCGUGUUAAUGAAAAUACCAAUAAAAGGUGAUAUUUUUCCUGAACGACGAAGCUUUCGGAAUGAAGCAACAAACAGAGAAGGAUAUCUGCUAAUACCUAAAAUAGCACCAUUUAAAUAAACCAAGUAGGUACCAUGGCUGUGUAAUUCACGUCCGCUGAUGACAUGUAUAUCUUCAAUACCAAACGCAUACGCCAACUUAAUAAUUGGCUCCUCUUCUUCGUCGGUUGUAAUAUGGGUCAUCAACGCUAAAUUCUUCACUAAACCACAAGCUUCACCCUCAGGUGUAUCUGAAGUACAAAGCAUACCAAACUGGGAAGCUUGAAGAGAACGAGGUCCUGAGACUUUUCUUGUUUUUUCAAACUGACUGGUAAUUCGAGUCAUCAUACCAAGGGCACUAAUAUAGCUUAAUCGAGAUAAAACGUGAGUGACACCAGCUCUUUCCAUCUUGAAACGCUUUAAUGACCAAUUGCCAGUAGACAAAGCACGAACCAUACCUUGAGUGAUGUGAUCACUAUGGACGGUUAGCUGGUUGUAAGCGUCAAAUUCUUGUGUACGAUGUGGUUUCUUUAAAACUUUAUCUAUGUUCAGCUUAAGGUCUGAAUUAAACUUCUUAAAAAGAUCCUCAAACAAUAAUGCCAACAACUGGCCAGCCAACUCUAGACGUUUGUUACCAACAUAGUCACGAUCAUCGACUUGUAAAGGAUCUACCAUGGCCAUGAGAACUCGACGGGCCAUUAUUCCAAUGUAAACCGCCUUAGGACGGAACUCUAAAUUAAAAACAUUGAUGUGAGCUAACACAACGGCGGCCAAAACUUCAAGAGCUUCUUCGUGAGGGGGCAAACGAUUAGCACCGGCUCGUCUAUUUACCUUAACACGCGCACCGAUAUAUUCUAAUGCUUGCUGUGCAGUAUAUAUAUUUAACUUUGCACAUUCUUCGAUGCUUGGUGCAAACAAAUCUUGAUAAGAUGCUUCUGCACCGGCAACAAGCUCAAAAAUUUCUUGAUCCGAUUGAAGUCCCAUUGCUUUUAAAACAACCACUAUAGGAAUAUCAUCUGCUACACUGUUGUGUUUCAGGUAAAGCUUUCCAUUUUUGGUUAUUACAUAGGUUUUUGACUUUCGCUCAUGGGUCGAGGAAGUAACAGAAGCUUGCCAAAGUCCUUUCUUUGGUUCUGCUUCGACAAUUAUACGAUUCUUGGAUAAUUGUUCUUGCACUAAAAUAACUUUUUCAGUACCUUUUACAAUGAAAUAACCACCAGGAUCCAAAGGGCAUUCGUUUAAAGCGGCCAUCUCCAUUUCAUUUUUCCCAGAUAAAACACAUUUAUUACUUCGCAACAUUACAGGCAUCCUUCCAAUAGGAACAUUUCUUCUUCUUACAACUUGUUUGCCCCUCGUAUAUUCAAUAUCAACGUAAAUAUUCGCACCAUAAGUCAAAUCACGUAAACGGCAUUCAUGAGGUGAAAUUGAGGCUUGAAUAGCAUCAGCAUCAGUUCGAACAGGCGCUCCUACUCGAAUAUCCAAGUACUUUAAGUAGAACCAAGGUUCAACGUCUGAAGUGACUUUUUCAUUUGCUUGUACAAUUUUUUUUAAAUCAACAUCAACAAAAUAGUUAUACGAGUCUAAAUGCUGUUUAACAAGUCCUUUUACCUUUAAAAAUGCAGGUAAAAGCUGCCAUUUGUCUUCAAUGGUGGGAACAGGGUCUGCAAGCUUUUUGCCCUUAUAAACAGGUUUAAAGAGGGCUCCAAAACUCUCAUCCUUCCCAAUUCCACCUUUAUUUAUUUUGGGUUGGCUUUUUUGAGGGUCUCCGGCAGUAUUUACCCCCAUCGAACUCACUUAGUUGAUAAUGGCGGACGGUAGCAAAAUUCCUCCCCAAAAAUAUACUUAUGGAGGAAGCGUUAGUAAUGCAAGGAUAGAGAUUUCUUAUUACUUUGGG